GGGCGUGUGGCGGAAUUGGCUAUACGCGCUAGUCUUAGGAACUAGUCCCGCAAGGGUUGGAGGUUCGAGUCCUCUCACGCCCACCA
rnacentral:tRNA from 1 species